UGCCCAACAACACCUAUCCCUACCUCCUCGUGGUACUGGCCGGGGUACGAGUAACCUUGGGGAAGAUCGGGUAACCAACCCCCGGUGGGUUUGUUGUUUUUUGUGUAUUUACGACACUUUACACCAGGGGGUGCAUUCGUGUCGGCAACCCCCGGUGGGAACUUUAGUCGUAUGCUGACAGGGAAGG
rnacentral:ribozyme from 1 species